AAAAAGUCUUGUAACAAAAGUUAUUUUAAAGAGCAUCUGUUUUUGCGGCGGGCAGACAGCGUUGAUAGGGAAAGGUUGUCACGAUGGUGUCCAUUUUAACUAAAAUAUUGGAUGUAGAAUUACAAAUACGUAUAAUAAACAAAAUUAUAUAUUAAGUCUUAAAACUGACUGAGUUUGAGUGCUCUUUUUUUUUUUUAAUAUAUAUAAAAAGCAUGGGUGGAAAUAAGCCUUGUCCCCAGAUCAGUUUUGUUCUGUCUUGCCAUUGACCAUAUAAGUGUUGAAAAGAAAAGCACUAACAGGUCUGGGACCAGGGUAGAAGGGAAUCAGCCAAACUGGCAGAGCUAAACAGACGAUCAAGUUAAUAUUUCCUAUUUGUUAGAAGAAUUACUUGUUUAUAAAACUGUACACUGCAACAACAACAACAUGUUUCCAAAGUAAACCAUCUGGUUCUACAAUAGGAGUUUUAAGUAUGUUGGUCCAUCUUUACAAUGCCAGCCACUGAGUUUGGCCUGCAGUGUGCUCAGUGGCCACUGAUGUGUGAAACGUCUCAGAGUAGGGAAGCAUCCCAAAUGGCACCCUAUUCCCUAUAUAGUGCACUACUUUUAGGGUCCAUAGGUUCCUGGUCUAAAGUAGUGCACUAUAUAGGGAAUAGGGUGCCAUUUGGGAUGCUAUCCCCGAGAGCUGUAGUACAGUACAAUAUGUUAUGUUCAUACAAAAAGCAACCCAUUUUUUUUGUUCCACAAAUCCAUCAAAAAUAUCCAUGUAACAUACAAGUUCAAAUGAGCUAUUUUCUCAGACCGUAACGGUCACUUGGUUUGUAUAUGAAAGUCUGUUCUCAUUAAAACUGCUGUAAAAUAUUUUGUUUCUGUCCGUGAUUUUGAGAGAGAGAUUUUACAACCUGUGAAUUGAGAGACCCGGGACGGAGGAGGGGAGAGGAUGUUUUGAUUCUCUCUGAUUUUUACACCAUUUUCGUUGUAGAGAAAUGUAAUGGUUUUUCUUCCUGCAGCAUUGUCUCCUCUAGUUCUUGUCACUUUCCCCAAACUCUUGUUUUGGAGAUCCUGUUUGGAGGAUGUUCUUGUUCCCUCAUGAUUGGGGCUCCCGAGUGGCGCAGCAUCUCAGUGCCUUGAGGAGUCACUACAGACACCCUGGUUCAGAAUCCAGGCUGUAUCACAACCCGGCCGUGAGUGGGAAGCACAAUUGGCCCAGCGUCGUCCUAGUUUGGCCCGGUGUAGGCGGUCACUGUAAAUAAGAAUUUGUUCUUAACUGACUUGCCUAGUUAAAUUUAAAAAAAAUAAUUCCCAGAAUCUUCCAACUGUGUUAACUUGGGAAUUUUGCAGUUUUUUCUCUUAGUUGUGUGUGUUUGUAUGUAAUGUUUGGUAUAGAACAGGAACGAUGGUAUAGAGACAGCUGUCCAGUCCAUGACAAAACUGAUACGUUACUAGAAUCUAAUAUAGCUGCACACAAAUAUAUAACAAGUACCUCUUCUGUCACUGAAUAAUAUCACAACAAGAUUUUUUAUUUUUUAUUAUAAUUUUAUUAAAAAUCGCAUUUAAAAUAUUGAUCAAAUAUGUAUUUGAAAAUGACAAGGCUUUUUAAUAUGUAUAUGUACAAACAGGAUAAAAAAUAAAAACAGGGAGAUUAUAUAAAUACUCAGAACAAACCAAUAUCAGCCAUGUGAACAAGAAGGAAGCACAUUAUAUUGGAAGAAUAGAGGGAGGAGAGUAGAACUGGGUUGUGUUCAUUAGUCACCCAAUGGAUGAAAAUGGACUGAAACAGGGAGGGACUACUUGAAUCUGUCCAAUAAGAAACUCAUUUUCAUUUUUUCCCCUUGUUAAAUGUUUUUGCUACGAUGUGCACUAAUGAAUACGACCCUGGUUUAGUUUGUGAGGAACACUGUUAAGGUUAAAAGUAUUAGUUUGAUCUAUUUAUAGGUACAGUAUCAGAGCUGGUAGAAAACUACAACUUCCUCUUGAAGCGUUUCUUUAAUCUGACCAUGUGUUCAUCUGGCCAUGUGUUCCUCUGACCAUGUGUUCAUCUGACCAUGUGUUCAUCUGACCAUGUGUUCAUCUGACCAUGUGUUCAUCUGACCAUGUGUUCAUCUGACCAUGUGUUCAUCUGACCAUGUGUUCAUCUGACCAUGUGUUCAUCUGACCAUGUGUUCAUCUGACCAUGUGUUCAUCUGACCAUGUGUUCA
rnacentral:lncRNA from 13 species